UCCGCCCUCCCUCUAGCCCAACCAACAUCAUGUCCACUGCUAUUAACAAAACACCUCCACACCUAACCAAAACAUUCUAACUUUGUCUCAGUAUAGGAGAUAGAAAAGACCUCAGGCGCAAUAGAGAUCAACUGUACCGUAAGGGAAAGAUGAAAUAACAGUGAAAACCAUUAAGCCAAAAGUAGUAAAGACCAACCCUUGUACCUUUUGCAUCAUGAUUUAGCAAGAACAACCAAGCAAAGCGAACUAAAGUUUGCCCCCCCGAAACCCAAGCGAGCUACUUGCGAGCAGCUAAAGAUCUGAGCGAACCCGUCUCUGUCGCAAAAGAGUGGGAUGACUCGCCAGUAGAGGUGAAAAGCCAAUCGAGCUGGGUGAUAGCUGGUUAUCUGCCAAAUGAAUCUAAGUUCUACCUUAACCCCCCCCCCCAAAGGACACCCCAACCCUAAACCAGCAUACAUUGGGAUUAAGAGCAACUCGACGGAGGUACAGCUCCGUCGAAAAAGAACACAACCUCCCCCAGCGGAUAAUAACACCCCCCCCCCCUUUUUUUUACCGUAGGCCUUCAAGCAGCCAUCAACAAAGAGUGCGUCUAAGCUCACCCACUAAAAAAUCAUAAAUCCUACUUGACUCCCUCAUCCAAAGCAGAUUAACCUAUGACAAUAGAAGAACUAAUGCUAAAAUAAGUAACUUGGGACUCCCCUCACAGCGCAAACUUACGCCCACAAACCAUUAACAGACUCAACUUAUACUCACACUUACCACAAGAACAUGUAUCUAACCCAACCUGUUGAGGCCGACAUCGGAGCGCUCGCAAGACGAUUAAAAUCCGCAGAAGGAACUCGGCAAAUCAAAGACCCGACUGUUUCCCAAAAACAUAGCCUUCAGCCAAAACUAACAAGUAUUGAAGGUGAUGCCUGCCCAGUGACACAAAAUGUUUAACGGCCGCGGUAUCCUAACCGUGCAAAGGUAGCGCAAUCAAUUGUCUCGUAAAUUGAGACUUGUAUGAAAGGCUAAACGAGGUCUUAACUGUCUCCUGCCGAUAAUCAGUGAAAUUAGUAUUCCCGUGAAAAAACGAGAAUGUGGUCAUAAGACGAGAAGACCCUGUGGAACUUCAAAAUCAUCAACCACCCUUAUAUUAAUAUAACCCACCCUGGGCUCAACCUACAAAACGCCUGGUUGACAUUUUUCGGUUGGGGCGACCUUGGAGAAAAACAAAUCCUCCAAACCUAUAGACCACACCUCUUUACUAAGACCCACCUCUCAAAGUACUAACAGUAACCCAGACCCAAUACAAUUGAUCAAUGGACCAAGCUACCCCAGGGAUAACAGCGCAAUCUCCUCCAAGAGCCCGUAUCGACGAGGAGGUUUACGACCUCGAUGUUGGAUCAGGACAACCUAAUGGUGCAGCCGCUAUUAAGGGUUCGUUUGUUCAACGAUUAACAGUCCUACGUGAUCUGAGUUCAGACCGGAGCAAUCCAGGUCGGUUUCUAUCUAUGCAUGCACUCCUCCUAGUACGAAAGGACUGGAGAAGUAGGGUCAAUACUACCAGCACACCCUAAUCCUCUAAGCAAUGAACCCAACUCAACUGCUAAGAGAACUUACCUACACUCCGCUCCUAGAAAAGGACACA
rnacentral:rRNA from 1 species